GGAUUGUGAACCAAACAAUGCAAAUUGCCAGGCAACUCAGUAGCCAUAACACAAGGCAGUGAAUUCUGUAAAUAGUCCAUGGUAUGUCCCACUGUUCCUUCGAGAACUUCUCUUUGGCUCCUAUGUUUGAAAAUCUGUGUUUUGCUCCAUUUAGCGGAAGCUACUUCAGCAUUCAGAGGACACCAUUCCUCACCAGUGAAGCUUUAGUGUGAAUCACCCCGGUGCCAAGUCUCUCUUCAAAAAUUUUGGGUUGCAAAAAAAUGCAAGUCUCAUCCGUGAGGCGAGUGGCCAUUCAAAUACUUGAGGUCAGGAUGGUUUUGCUUUGUUCAAUCAUAGAGUUUCAAAACUGCUAAAGCCCUUAGAGUUUCUCUCAUCUGUCAUUUUACAAGUGGUAAACUGAGGCAUUGAGAAGUGAAGUGAUGUGGCUUUUACAGAGGAAAUUAGACCUGCUCUCUGGCCUUAGAGCUCUCUGCUGAACCCACUCAUGACCAUCAUGGCAGCCUCAUUCUUUCUUUUUAUUGAGUGCAGCAUUGGAACAAGAAGGCUUUUAAAGCGGUCGGCAUGACUUGAUGCUCUUGUCACCUUUUCCUGCUUGUUGUUCUUGUAUUCAGUUACAAAUCUGGCUCUGACCCUUGUUGAAAGGGGUCACUGAAAGUGGUAAGGAAAGAGAGAGAGCAAUAAGCUU
rnacentral:lncRNA from 12 species